rnacentral:rRNA from 1 species
AGCGUACACGGUGGAUGCCCUGGCAGUCAGAGGCGAUGAAGGACGUGCUAAUCUGCGAAAAGCGUCGGUAAGGUGAUAUGAACCGUUAUAACCGGCGAUGUCCGAAUGGGGAAACCCAGUGCAAUUCGUUGCACUAUCGUUAACUGAAUACAUAGGUUAACGAGGCGAACCGGGGGAACUGAAACAUCUAAGUACCCCGAGGAAAAGAAAUCAACCGAGAUUCCCCCAGUAGCGGCGAGCGAACGGGGAGCAGCCCAGAGUCUGAAUCAGCUUGUGUGUUAGUGGAACGGUCUGGAAAGUCCGACGGUACAGGGUGAUAGUCCCGUACACCAAAAUGCACAGGCUGUGAACUCGAAGAGUAGGGCGGGACACGUGGUAUCCUGUCUGAAUAUGGGGGGACCAUCCUCCAAGGCUAAAUACUCCUGACUGACCGAUAGUGAACCAGUACCGUGAGGGAAAGGCGAAAAGAACCCCGGCGAGGGGAGUGAAAAAGAACCUGAAACCGUGUACGUACAAGCAGUGGGAGCACCUUCGGGUGUGACUGCGUACCUUUUGUAUAAUGGGUCAGCGACUUAUAUUCUGUAGCAAGGUUAACCGUAUAGGGGAGCCGCAGGGAAACCGAGUCUUAACUGGGCGUUAAGUUGCAGGGUAUAGACCCGAAACCCGGUGAUCUAGCCAUGGGCAGGUUGAAGGUUGGGUAACACUAACUGGAGGACCGAACCGACUAAUGUUGAAAAAUUAGCGGAUGACUUGUGGCUGGGGGUGAAAGGCCAAUCAAACCGGGAGAUAGCUGGUUCUCCCCGAAAGCUAUUUAGGUAGCGCCUCGUGAAUUCAUCUUCGGGGGUAGAGCACUGUUUCGGCUAGGGGGUCAUCCCGACUUACCAACCCGAUGCAAACUACGAAUACCGAAGAAUGUUAUCACGGGAGACACACGGCGGGUGCUAACGUCCGUCGUGAAGAGGGAAACAACCCAGACCGCCAGCUAAGGUCCCAAAGUCAUGGUUAAGUGGGAAACGAUGUGGGAAGGCACAGACAGCCAGGAUGUUGGCUUAGAAGCAGCCAUCAUUUAAAGAAAGCGUAAUAGCUCACUGGUCGAGUCGGCCUGCGCGGAAGAUGUAACGGGGCUAAACCAUGCACCGAAGCUGCGGCAGCGACACUAUGUGUUGUUGGGUAGGGGAGCGUUCUGUAAGCCUGCGAAGGUGACCUGUGAGGGUUGCUGGAGGUAUCAGAAGUGCGAAUGCUGACAUAAGUAACGAUAAAGCGGGUGAAAAGCCCGCUCGCCGGAAGACCAAGGGUUCCUGUCCAACGUUAAUCGGGGCAGGGUGAGUCGACCCCUAAGGCGAGGCCGAAAGGCGUAGUCGAUGGGAAACAGGUUAAUAUUCCUGUACUUGGUGUUACUGCGAAGGGGGGACGGAGAAGGCUAUGUUAGCCGGGCGACGGUUGUCCCGGUUUAAGCAUGUAGGCUGGUUAUCCAGGCAAAUCCGGAUAAUCAAGGCUGAGGUGUGAUGACGAGGCACUACGGUGCUGAAGUAACAAAUGCCCUGCUUCCAGGAAAAGCCUCUAAGCAUCAGGUAACAUCAAAUCGUACCCCAAACCGACACAGGUGGUCAGGUAGAGAAUACCAAGGCGCUUGAGAGAACUCGGGUGAAGGAACUAGGCAAAAUGGUGCCGUAACUUCGGGAGAAGGCACGCUGGUGUGUAGGUGAAGUCCCUGCGGAUGGAGCUGAGACCAGUCGAAGAUACCAGCUGGCUGCAACUGUUUAUUAAAAACACAGCACUGUGCAAACACGAAAGUGGACGUAUACGGUGUGACGCCUGCCCGGUGCCGGAAGGUUAAUUGAUGGGGUUAUCCGUAAGGAGAAGCUCUUGAUCGAAGCCCCGGUAAACGGCGGCCGUAACUAUAACGGUCCUAAGGUAGCGAAAUUCCUUGUCGGGUAAGUUCCGACCUGCACGAAUGGCGUAAUGAUGGCCAGGCUGUCUCCACCCGAGACUCAGUGAAAUUGAACUCGCUGUGAAGAUGCAGUGUACCCGCGGCAAGACGGAAAGACCCCGUGAACCUUUACUAUAGCUUGACACUGAACAUUGAGCCUUGAUGUGUAGGAUAGGUGGGAGGCUUUGAAGCGUGGACGCCAGUCUGCGUGGAGCCAACCUUGAAAUACCACCCUUUAAUGUUUGAUGUUCUAACGUUGGCCCCUGACCGGGGUUGCGGACAGUGUCUGGUGGGUAGUUUGACUGGGGCGGUCUCCUCCCAAAGCGUAACGGAGGAGCACGAAGGUUAGCUAAUCCUGGUCGGACAUCAGGAGGUUAGUGCAAUGGCAUAAGCUAGCUUGACUGCGAGCGUGACGGCGCGAGCAGGUGCGAAAGCAGGUCAUAGUGAUCCGGUGGUUCUGAAUGGAAGGGCCAUCGCUCAACGGAUAAAAGGUACUCCGGGGAUAACAGGCUGAUACCGCCCAAGAGUUCAUAUCGACGGCGGUGUUUGGCACCUCGAUGUCGGCUCAUCACAUCCUGGGGCUGAAGUAGGUCCCAAGGGUAUGGCUGUUCGCCAUUUAAAGUGGUACGCGAGCUGGGUUUAGAACGUCGUGAGACAGUUCGGUCCCUAUCUGCCGUGGGCGCUGGAGAAUUGAGGGGGGCUGCUCCUAGUACGAGAGGACCGGAGUGGACGCAUCACUGGUGUUCGGGUUGUCAUGCCAAUGGCACUGCCCGGUAGCUAAAUGCGGAAGAGAUAAGUGCUGAAAGCAUCUAAGCACGAAACUUGCCCCGAGAUGAGUUCU